CCUACGGAGUGCAGCAGUGAGGAAUAUUGGUCAAUGGGCGAGAGCCUGAACCAGCCAAGUCGCGUGAAGGAUGAAGGAUCUAUGGUUUGUAAACUUCUUUUAUAUGGGAAUCAAGUGAGGAACGUGUUCCUUUGUGUAUGUACCAUAUGAAUAAGCAUCGGCUAACUCCGUGCCAGCAGCCGCGGUAAUACGGAGGAUGCGAGCGUUAUCCGGAUUUAUUGGGUUUAAAGGGUGCGUAGGUGGUUAAUUAAGUCAGCGGUAAAACUUCGGGGCUCAACCCCGUCCGGCCGUUGAAACUGGGGGCCUUGAGUGGGCGAGAAGAAGGCGGAAUGCGUGGUGUAGCGGUGAAAUGCAUAGAUAUCACGCAGAACCCCGAUUGCGAAGGCAGCCUUCCGGCGCCCUACUGACGCUGAGGCACGAAAGUGCGGGGAUCGAACAGGAUUAGAUACCCGUGUAGUC
rnacentral:rRNA from 1 species